AGGUGCGAUCAUACCAGCACUAAUGCACCGGAUCCCAUCAGAACUCCGCAGUUAAGCGUGCUUGGGCGAGAGUAGUACUAGGAUGGGUGACCUCCUGGGAAGUCCUCGUGUUGCACUUU
rnacentral:rRNA from 1 species